CCUACGGGCGGCAGCAGUAGGGAAUUUUCGUCAAUGGGCGCAAGCCUGAACGAGCAAUGCCGCGUGAACGAGGAAGGUCUUCGGAUCGUAAAGUUCUGUUGAAGGGGAAAAAGAGCGGAGAGAGGAAAUGGUCUCCGAUUGAUAUUACCCUUCGAGGAAGUCACGGCUAACUACGUGCCAGCAGCCGCGGUAAUACGUAGGUGGCGAGCGUUAGCCGGAAUGAUUGGGCGUAAAGGGUGCGUAGGCGGCGUGCUAAGUCUGGAGUGAAAGGUACCGGCUCAACCGGUAUAGGCUCUGGAAACUGGCGGGCUAGAGAGCAGGAGAGGGCGGUGGAACUCCAUGUGUAGCGGUAAAAUGCGUAGAUAUAUGGAAGAACACCAGUGGCGAGGGCGGCCGCCUGGCCUGUUACUGACGCUGAGGCACGAAAGCGUGGGGAGCAAAUAGGAUUAGAUACCCGAGUAGUC
rnacentral:rRNA from 1 species